rnacentral:rRNA from 1 species
CAGUAGCCGCGGUAAUACCGAGGGUGCAAGCGUUAAUCGGAAUUACUGGGCGUAAAGCGUGCGUAGGUGGUGGUUUAAGUCCGUUGUGAAAGCCCUGGGCUCAACCUGGGAAUUGCAGUGGAUACUGGGUCACUAGAGUGUGGUAGAGGAUAGUGGAAUUUCCGGUGUAGCAGUGAAAUGCGUAGAGAUCGGAAGGAACAUCUGUGGCGAAGGCGACUAUCUGGGCCAACACUGACACUGAGGCACGAAAGCGUGGGGAGCAAACAGGAUUAGAUACCCCCGUAGUCCCUGUCUCUUAUAC